UGCCAGCAGCCGCGGUAAUAUGGACGGUGCAUGCGUUGUUCGGAAUUAUUGGGCGUAAAGAGCAUGUAGGCGGACUGUUAAGUCUGGCGUGAAAGCCCGGGGCUCAACCCCGGAAGUGCGUUGAAUACUGGCAGUCUUGAGUAUGGGAGAGGAAAGUGGAAUUCCGAGUGUAGGAGUGAAAUCCGUAGAUAUUCGGGGGAACACCAGUGGCGAAGGCGGCUUUCUGGACCGAUACUGACGCUGAGACGCGAAAGCGUGGGGAGCAAACAGGGUUAGAUA
rnacentral:rRNA from 1 species